UUUUGCUGCCGCGAAUUUCUAUGCUUGCCGCGGCCAGGAUAAAAUAGGAUUUUUGUUACUACGAUUUGUCUGAAAGCAUAUAACUGGUCGUUUGUUACCGUUGAAAAAUAAGACACACGGUCUUUUUUAUGUUUCCCUUUUAUAGUUUUGUGUAUUUAUGUGUCUUUCUUUUUUAACGGUACGCUAUAUCUCUUUUUCUUUUUUUCUUUCAAUAAGAGAGAUUUAACGCGAAAAGAGUAGUCACGAGGUAUUCUUAAUUAUUUGGGAAUCUAGACUCGUCGACCUUGACCAAGAAACUCAGCCAUCGAAAUAGCCACGAGCAACGGUUUAGCGUUAAAUGGGCUGCGAUUCACACGAGGGAUCCGAGUCCAAUUUAACUCGAGGCGAAACGAUUCAAAGCGUGACAAUUUAAUUGCAACAUUUACAAAGAGACUCGCGUGAGCUCGUGUAAUUGACCCAGUGUUGUAUAUUUUUGCAAAUAUUAUUCAAACAUGUGAAACAAGCGGGAAAAAGUUCUGUGAAAGUUUUGCGAGGAAGCGAUUCAUAUUCAUGUUACGUGUCAUGUAUGUGAAGGACCUUUGAAAUUGUUAUAAAUAUCCUGCAACGCGUCGAUUAUAACUGUUACGGGAAAGAAAGCACUGGAUCGACAAAAUUAACGACGCAACCAUUAUUUUUAUGACGAUAUCACGCGUUAAUUUCAUUUAUUCCAGAAGAAAGGAAAAUGCAACAGAAAUAACAGUGUUAAAGCGAUGAAUUAUUUCGGUUUAAACUUUUGUGGAAAAGCCACGUUACUUUAUCGAUAAGGAAAAGUUUGGCGAGCGGGUUAAUGCAUCGAACGUUCAGUACAUUUAAGCAUCGUAAAGAAGAAUUGUAUGGUAAAACGUGGAAUUUCGUAGAAAAUCCAAGCUCGUAGAGAAGGCAAACGCACAAGGGGAAGAUUUCUUUUAUUCGGCCCAAGGGAGGCAGCAAAAUUUAAUUGGCCCGCGAGAGCGCGUUUCACGAGAAGGCGGCUUGUGUCGACCGUUUAAAACUUUCGCCGACACGUGGCCGAGAAUGCCGUCGCUUUAAUUCCUCGAAAAUCGUCCGCGAAAAAACGAAGAACUUGCGGAACCAGCGUGUUCGAGCUACCGAAAAAAGUCUGAGUUAUUUCCUCCGGACACCGCGAAUGGACUGUGGAAAUAAGCCAAGCAUCGCGGCCGAUAUUAGUGUUUCCGCGUAUUAGCGUUUUCUAGCUUGCCGCUAAAAGCCAAAGGAAACAUUUUCAACGAUGGCGUAAAUAUAAUCUUUGGAUUAUAGUAGCUUGGAAUUCUACCGUGCUAGAGAUUGUUGAAUUUUCCUCGACAAAUAAAUAAAAAUUUAUUCAAAUCAUCGUCCUGCGUGUAAAUGGUAACAACGUUUAGUUUUUUAUUUUUACAUUUUGCUAUUCCGAAUAUUUCUAUUAUUAUUUAUUUGUUAGAAUAGUAAAACUCCUAUUUCUUUUUCUUUUUCUUUUCACAAAUCUACUUGCGAGGAAAAUGUUCAAUAUAUAUAUAUUUGAUGACCAAACUUUGAAAUUCCAUUUGGGCUAAACAGGUUCUACGGCGAGUUAAUUAAUUUUUCAGGAGACAAUCGAAGCCUGGCACAAUCCCUCCUCGAAGCGAUCGAUCGGCCGAGGACAAAUGACAGGUUCUCUGCCACCAGACACUCGGAAUAUCUCGUGUUUGUCCAAGAGGCGAUGGUCGGGUUUACAUUAGGACCAUUUCCGGCCAAUUGAUUAGUCUCGAUCGGUUUAGCCCGGUCUUGGCCAUUUCCAAUGAUCGGUUUUAUCGAUCUCGCCUCGUUCGGAACAAGUUCCAACGGGAAUCGAACGAAAGUCAAGGUAACUUCUGUUUGCCACUACAAAUCGAUAUACGUUCUUUCCACGUGCCUCCACUUCCGUUCAAAAGUAUCUUAUUUUAACAAGAUGUAUUUUAAUGUAUCGAAUAGCAGUCUUUAAAAUAUUUUCAUAAUUUAAUUUCAGUGAUUUUCGGUCUUUUGACGAGCAAUAUAAAAAAAGAGAUACCAAGCUUUCUUAAAUUUGGAUUAAAUUCAACCACUGUUACCACAAAUCGAGCAAGAUUUCGAAAUACUGCGAAAAGAAUCGAGCGGCAAUUAUUACAUACGUGUAUUGUUAGUUUAUAAAUAUUUCAAAUUUUGUUCAAUAAAAAUUAUUGAGAAGAUAACAACGAAAUACAAAAUACCGUCAGUCGUUCAAAUGCACCGGGACUUUUCGACACAAAAUCGAAACAGCGCGAUUCAGCUGCUUGGAGCUCAAACGGCUAAGGUAGUGGCAAUUCCGAAGAAACACGUUGGGUUGGUGGAACGAACGUUCGAGAAGACUCGGUAAACCUUUCGACUAUUAGCUGUUAGCGUAAACUCGUCGAGAUUGUUCGCUAGGAAAACUUGAUAGGAGGUGGCAGCGAGCUGUCUCGGUAUUAACGACGCAAACUUAUUCAUCGGCGAAGCACUAUUUGCAGAGGAAACUACCCUGGCUGAGGCUCGAUCGAGGGAUGCGCGUGAAUCUCGCGAUACCCGACUACGAAAAUUAAUUACCGCGUUCGAUGCAUCUCUACCGUUGCCGGCCUACCGUCGUCCAUGUUAAUUACAAUAACACCGCUUAUGAGUUAACGCGCGCAAUCAAUCUUGCCACUAUCCACGAACGUUGCCUCCUCGUCCGUCACGUCGUAUUUUACUGCCCACCGAUGGAUAUUCUAGCAAAUAUUGUCCUAUCCGCAAUUAAAUCGUCGCGAUAUCGUAAUAGAAAAUCUCUUCCUUCUCGUUCUUCCUCUACUUUCGCGAUAAACUUGAAAUAUUUCGUUCUCUAUAAGCAACUAGAAAUUAUACUAAAGUGUACGUAUUUCAAACUGGACGAUAUACUUCUUGAAUAUUAAGUUCAAAAAGAUAUCAGUACCGCAGCUACUGUUUAACAGCGUAGCUUCGCAUGUUCUUUAUGAAAACUGAAUCUCACGCUAAAUCGAGCGAUAUAUUAAAAAAUAUAUGAUUUCGUUACAAGCGUAUGUUGACUCGUCUCGCAUAACGUGUCCCUCCUAACUUUCAUUUGAAACAUUUCCCAGUAUCGUCAACAAUUUCAAAGCUAUCCGAGCGUGUUGAUUUAAAUAGAACACUGUGCGCGAACACCACUGACUGAUGACGAUGUUGAAAUUGUACUCGAGAAAGCGGUAAAACGAAAGACAUCACGGUACUUCCAAAGUCGCGAAAAUAAUCUCGUUUCGGCGGUCGUCAGCUGCAGCGUUCUUCCCUUCGACUAUUCGCAAAAGAAUAUUUUUAGCAAACAGAGACGUGUCUCUGUAUGACCCGUGAGCCGACGUUCUACCGGUUAAUAACCCCUUCUUCGAGCUCUCCCCUCGAUGUUCGUUCUCUCGCUAUACUCUCGAGCUGGUUAUCUCUGCCGGUUCCCCUUGUCAUUUGCCAUAGUGUACGCGCGAAAUGGGGGCUAUGGAACGCGUAAAAGCGUAGAAUACGAAAGCACGUUCCUGACGAGUGCAUCCGACGCUGGUGAUUCGGGCCUUUUACGGCGAAACCAGCUGUCGAUGGAUCGUAGUCGAGAGAAGACUCGAUGAUCCGCACGGAACUCCCCUGUCAGCGAUUGGAAGUCGCGCGAAUGGUGCCGGUGAAUGCACGGAUCAGCGCCGCUUUCCAAGGUUUCGACGUUUUAUUCGCGCGAGGAGAAGAUCAAGGGGAAGGUCGAAGAGGAAAAAGUUCGAAUCAUGGCGAAGAUUUCACGCUCUUUCUCUUUUCAAUGUUCGCUGUGAAGGACGAGGCGAGCGAGCUCGGUUUCGGGCGCGUGGAAGCUCGCAAUUUUUAUCGUUUUUUGAAGAAGAGCAACGCGACGAGAGACAAGGAAAGGAAGAAUCAGCAGCGGGAUUUGCGGAGAAUUGGAGUGUAAAGAGGAACAACGAGCCGAGAAACAAGGCCGAAUGUGUUUUCUUUUUAUCGUCUGCGAAGCACAGAUCCCGUCAUAUAAAAUCAAUGAAAUCUUCUGUAAUACGGAUAUUCUGACGCGGAAACGACGAUUCCCGCGACCGUCUUUCCAAACGAUUGGUAAGUCGUUCCCUGAGGAAACUUUCGAAGAUUUUCGAGAUAAGACGAAUCGAAAGGCUACGAGUCAGAACGUAAAGUGUUUUAAGCAAGAUAAAAGGAAUAUUAGGAGACAUAGGGAAAAGAAAAACAGCAGAAAGCUAUCGAAUCUUCUUUCUAUCGGGAACCGUCCUCUAAUCACGUUAAUGGAAUCUUAAUGAUUCUUAGCGAUUCUUAGUUUUCUCAAAAUGUGUAAAAACUUGGAUAAAGAAUGGCCAAACAAAAGGUCGCCUGUCGCUUUAGAAAAUUAAAGAACAAUGACGACAGACGGUGACAAAAAGAAGAGGAUUCUACGGGAUAAUAAAAACCAAACGAACUAGAGCAAGCUUUUGUACCUUUUUUCUAUCGACUCUCUUUUCCGCUGGAGGACGCUAUCGAUGCGGAUUUAACCCAUUUCCAUCGGGUCGCUGAUUUACGCCUGACUUUUCUUCAUGGCCGUGUCACUGAGACGCGAAUUACUUUCCAUUGAUCCGAACCGUCCUGCCUCAGGUAGGACACUGAACGCACUGACGUCACUCCUUCCAGCAAUUUCUACUAAAAAUUGGAAGAAGAAUGCGGCAUAUGUGAUCAUAGACGCGAACGGUGGCCUGAUCCGAGCGUAGUGGGGGUUGUCUUCCCGAGAGGACCAAGAAACGAUCUAAGGUCAAAGCAGUCCUUGAAGAUUCUAAGAGCACACGCCGAGAGGUCGGGUGUAUAAAGCUAAGCCGAGCGAACACGUUGACAUUGUUUAUCACUGAAUAAUCCGUCACGCUUUAUUAUUAUAUUCAUCGUUAUUAAAUACGCAAGCUAUAUCAACUUGUUAACAAAUAAAACAUCCUUUACUUGUCCUUUUACUUGUCCUUGCUCUAGACCAAUUUAAGAUACUACAUGUAUAUCGACGAAGAUCCUGGAAAUAGUUUAUUAAAUAAAUCUAAAGCUAUUUUAACAUGAUCGUCGUCAUGUCGCGCAUAUCUAUGUGACCAAAGUAUGGUAACGAUCUUCUUGUUCGAGUUAAUUAAAUAUACGAUAUUAUAUAUAGGA